rnacentral:rRNA from 1 species
UACGUUCCCGGGCCUUGUACACACCGCCCGUCACACCACGAAAGUCGGCAACACCCGAAGCCGGUGGCCCAACCGGCAAGGAGGGAGCCGUCGAAGGUGGGGUCGGUGAUUGGGGUG